rnacentral:rRNA from 1 species
CCCUUAGAUGUCCUGGGCCGCACGCGCGUUACACUGAUGCAUUCAACGAGCUUAUAACCUUGGCCGAGAGGCCUGGGCAAUCUUGUUAACGUGCAUCGUGAUAGGGGUAGAUUAUUGAAAUUAUUAAUCUUGAACGAGGAAUUCCUAGUAAACGCAGAUCAUCAAUCUGCAUUGAUUACGUCCCUGCCCUUUGUACACACCGCCCGUCGCACCUACCGAUUGGAUGGUCCGGUGAAGCCUCGGGAUUGUGGUUCUUGCCGCUUUAUUGUGGCGUGACCGCGAGAACUUGUCUAAACCUUAUCAUCUAGAGGAAGGUGAAGUCGUAACA